CUCUCUCUCUCUCUCUCUCUGUAUGUGUAGCUGUGUGUGUUGUUAAUAUUUACUCGGCCUGGUUCGUUCUUCCAAGCAAAAAGUUGUUUAUUAGCUAGCAGCACCAUCAGAUCCAGUAGGAAAAGAAGUGCUAAGGAUUUGAGAGACCCUCUGCAGGGAAACAUUGGAAUUUGUAAUUUGUAUAUUAAAAUCUUCCAAUAAUGUAGCCUAUUAAAAGGCCAGUUCAGCUCACGAAUACCAUUAACGCUUGCAUCAAUUUGCACUGUACCACAAGGAUUUUAGUAUAAACUACAAAGAAAACACAGAAUUUUCUUUAAUUAACACAGAAAAAUUAAGCACACAAAGUGGAAUACCCAGUUCAGAGAUUACUAAAGAAGAUGGUUAUUUUACCUGUAAAUGAGAUUUAACAUGCGCCAAGGUGAGAUCUUUCACAUCCAUGAGCUCAAGAACUGAC
rnacentral:misc_RNA from 1 species